rnacentral:rRNA from 1 species
GAGAGUGCAAGAGAACGUGAAACCGACAUAAUGGAAACAAAUGGAAUUGACCUAUCUAGUUUGUAUUCAAUAAUAUUAUUAAAUUUUUUUAAAUAAUUAUAAAAUAUUCUGUUAAGGUUAUUUUUUAAUUAUAUAUUAAAAAUGUAUAUAUUAUGCAUUUACAAACAGAGUGCGCCGAAUGAAUUGAUUUUGCCAUUGAAAACUAAUUUAGAGGCCUAAUAUAUUUACGUAUAUUAGAAACCUAAAUAAUAGUGAACGAUUUGGAUUAAAUUGAUUUUUUAUAAAAAUUUGAAAUAUUGGUGUUAUUUUUCACAUAAUUUGACUAAAAUAUGCAUAUUUAAUUAAUAAAACACAUGUGUUUUAUUUUUUUAAUAUGUAUGUUUAUUAGUUUAAAUUAUCCAUAUAUUUCGUAAUUCGGUGUCUAGUCAAAUCAUCCAUUUGACCCGUCUUGAAACACGGACCAAGGAGUUUAAGGUGUACGCAAGUUAUUGAGCUAUAUUAUAUUACGAAACUCAAAAGCAUAAUGAAAGUGAAACAUUUAAUGUUUAUGAUGUGAAUAGUGGUUUAUUUUAAAAUUUACACUAUGCAACAUCACCCCAUGACUAGAACAUGUUCUGUUGUGGAGGUUGAGCGUACGCUUUGAGACCCGAAAGAUGGUGAACUAUGCCUGAACAGGAUGAAGCCAGAG